ensembl:lncRNA
CUACUUGCCCUGACUUCUCAUUCUACACCCCCCUCUCAUCUUUGCCACACCCAUUCUUAACUCCUCCGUCCUCACUCAGAGGGAAAGAGGACUCUUCCUCUCUGAGGUUUAAGGAUCAUCCUCCAGGAUUGUGAUCUUGCUCUCACCUAUAUUUAAAUCCUUUCCUUCCACUAGCUUCUUCCUCUCAGCCUAAAUUAACAAAGCUGUUCAAGUCAGGACUCUCACCUGCAAGUGACAGACUCCCAAUUCAAGCUAGCUUAGUGUAUGAGUGAGCUGUCUCUCCCAGGAAGUCAAGGUCCAGGCAUCAAGAUUCGGCCUCACAAGGCCAAACACAGGCUGAAGAUGAAAACCAACCAGAGAAGUCCAGACAGUGAAGGGAAAAGAAAUAAUUCAGUCUUCAAGGCCAAACACAGGCUGGUGGGAAGGCGUCAACCAGCAAGGCCACAUGUUCUCCCCCUCCCGUCCUAAAACCCCAGCACUCGCUCCCCCUCCCCUGCCUACAACCCCAGCACACGCUCCCUCUCCUGCCUAAAACCCAGACAAAAACUCCUACCUUUUUCCCUUCUAGGAAGUGGAUCUGAGUUCUAACUCCCAUCUCCUCAUCUGGCUGCCUUUCCAUAAUAAACCCUCUUUCCUUGCCACAAGCCUAGCAUUUCCAGUUUUUGGCCCUCCUGUGCAGUGGGUAAAUGAACCUGUGUUUGUGUUUGCUAACAAAGCCACCACUGGCACCACUGAUGCUGGGCAUGAACCUGCUCGAACCUCAGACCUAUUGCCUCUGAAAGCUCACAUUUCUCCACCCCACUCUACCAGCAUCUCCAGAAGAAACAUUUGUAUCCGUACAUUGCUAAAGUGGUCACACCACACACACCGCUGGAGUACCCACUGUCAUUGCCACCUCUUUCCAAGGUCUCUUCUCCAUUGUGGAGGAAAAGCUUGGAAUUACAUUUCCCAGAAACCCUUGUUAGAAUUUGCCAGUGAGAGGCAUUUGCCAAGAUUUGGGCUGCAAUAGAGAAGGUGAGAGUUGCAGUCAGAGGCAUGGGCCCACAUGAAAUACCCAGCAAGAUCCUGGAAAGUUCUUGUGAACCAGCAACUCUUUGAGACUGCAGACCAAAACAGUCGGUGGACUUUGUGAGGAUUGCAGAAGCUUCCUGGCCAUCUCUUGAGAACCCCAACCCUCUUUGGUACUUCAGGCUAAGCUCUUCAGUGGUGGCUUCCCUUACCUGUGCUCCCCAGUUUCUCCAGCAGUUGGUAAAGCCACCAACACUUUAUAUUGAACUUUUCAUAACUGUAUUAGAGUGGCUUCUCUUCUCCUAAAUGAACCCUGGCAAAAACAAGCAGGCUGCUGCAUAAAUCUGGCAGUUACAGUAUAUUAUAAAGGAGACACCAUCAGCAAAACAUACCAGGAGACAUCAAUUUGGGAGACCUCGGAUGGGGUGGCAUCUCAGAUCUCCCCGGUCCUCACGGGAGACGUGCCUGGGUUAAUGGUGAUGGUAUUUUGUCUAUUUAGGGCAAAGUCCUGCCAGACUGAUCCAAGCAUAUCACUGUGAAACUAAAGCAUGCUACCUUCCCUGUCACAAACCAAUGGAUUUAACCCCUAAGUUCU